CGGAGCGAGGGGCGGAGCAAGGGCGGGUCAGUUCUGGGUGCUGGUCUCCUGCCUCUGAACCUGCCGGGAACCUGUGGGCGCCGGCACCUGUCUCCACUCACGUGACGUGGGACUCAGUGACCCCUGAAGGCUUGGGGUUUACCAGGCUGCUGCACAAAAUUCACUCUCCAGCCCUACUUUGGAGCAAUGAGGAACCCCAGCGUCUUGAUCUGUCGUUUUGGAGCUGCUUCACGUGGAAGAUGGAGAGGACCAGUUUCGACAAACCUAGUAUCUGUCCAUUAACAAGAGAUGAUGGAGUUCAAGCAGGUUUGAUGGGGCUUGUCCAAAGAAAUACAGUCCCAGAGCAGUCUUUUUAGGACCUAAACAUACAAUGCGAACAAGAACAUGAGAAAAGACACUUUCACAGGAAGCUUCCCAGGUUUAUUGUUUAUUUAACUGCUUUGAACGAAAUGCUUGGGUCUUACCUGAAUGAGAAUGUGGACGAGACGCAGUCAUCAUGAAGAUGAACACUGUGUUCCGGCUGAAGCUUCUGCUGUUGGACAACACUGUCUCCUGAGGCGUGGAAGACUAGCAUCAUCUUAAAGCAAGAGGGAAUCGACAACGAACAGUACUGGGUCCUACCCAGGAGGAAGCUCCUCCAUGAAAGCGUUUCCUGAACCGACGAGACCUUGGCAGCAACGUCUCGUGUGAAAGUUUUCAAGACGCCCACGAGUGGAAAAUGUACUCCCCCCCCAGCCAAAUCAAACUCUGCCAGAUUCCUUACAGCUGUGUGCCGUUGAAAUGACUAAUGAAAGCACCUUCCACUGCUGGUGGAACUUUCACAUAGGGCACUGCUUGCCAGGACCCGACCCUGCGUAUUUACAUACUGGAUGUCACCCCAAAAGCCCCCCGACCAGGGGAUUUCCGGGAUGUAAUGAGAACGCCACUCUGGGCCUUGGAAGGUGCACUGUCUGAGCGCUUGUCCUGCAGGGAAGGAGGGUAGCAUUUCGGACCCCAGCUGGCUCUUCUUCUGGGGAGAUGUGUAUUUCAGUCACAGAUCCACUGGUGGCAAGAUACUGCCUGUCUGCCAAGUGUUAAGGUGCUGGGAAUACCUGCGUGAGACUUCAGGGCCCCUGUGCAUCUGGAACUUGGUGCUUGGCUAAGGCAAGAGAUACAAACGCUCUGACAAUCUCAAUCUGUAACAUGGGUAAAAAGGGGGCAUUCUGGGAGCUCCCGAGAGGGGCACCUAACUUAGGGGUGGCCAGGGAAAGCUUCCUGGGACUUGUAAUGAAAGGGCUGAGUCUUCAAAAAAAAUUUUAAAGUCCUUUUUCUUAAGAAUAAGAAAAUCUAGUUACAAAGGUAA